CGCUGGCGGCAUGCCUUACACAUGCAAGUCGAACGGUAACAGGUCUUCGGACGCUGACGAGUGGCGAACGGGUGAGUAAUACAUCGGAACGUGCCCAGUCGUGGGGGAUAACUACUCGAAAGAGUAGCUAAUACCGCAUACGAUCUGAGGAUGAAAGCGGGGGACCUUCGGGCCUCGCGCGAUUGGAGCGGCCGAUGGCAGAUUAGGUAGUUGGUGGGAUAGAAGCUUACCAAGCCGACGAUCUGUAGCUGGUCUGAGAGGACGACCAGCCACACUGGGACUGAGACACGGCCCCGACUCCUACGGGAGGCAGCAGUGGGGAAUUUUGGACAAUGGGCGAAAGCCUGGUCCAGCAAUGCCGCGUGCAGGAUGAAGGCCUUCGGGUUGUAAACUGCUUUUGUACGGAACGAAAAAGCUUCUCCUAAUACGAGAGGCCCAUGACGGUACCGUAAGAAUAAGCACCGGCUAACUACGUGCCAGCAGCCGCGGUAAUACGUAGGGUGCGAGCGUUAAUCGGAAUUACUGGGCGUAAAGCGUGCGCAGGCGGUUAUGUAAGACAGAUGUGAAAUCCCCGGGCUCAACCUGGGAACUGCAUUUGUGACUGCAUGGCUAGAGUACGGUAGAGGGGGAUGGAAUUCCGCGUGUAGCAGUGAAAUGCGUAGAUAUGCGGAGGAACACCAAUGGCGAAGGCAAUCCCCUGGACCUGUACUGACGCUCAUGCACGAAAGCGUGGGGAGCAA
rnacentral:rRNA from 1 species